rnacentral:lncRNA from 1 species
UAAUUAAAAUAUUGGGCUCAAAAUAAUUAAAAGAAUCGGCCCAAAUAUAGCUUAUCUAAAACAAGUCUUCAGCCCAAGGAAAACUAAUCAGGACCCAACAAAAUUAAAAACAACUUCAGCUCAAAUAAUAAAAUAUAAUCGGCCCAGUUACAAAAAUAAGGGGAAGGCACUUCUUCUCCCUCAAACUCGUUUCUGUCUCUCUCUCAAAGAAAUCAGACGGUAUUCAAAACACACACAUACGCGGUUCAUCUCUCUCCGGUCGGCGUCGACUACCGCCGCGCCCGAGUCCGAGGCCGUGCUCCCUUUCCCUCACAUAUACCCUCUCUCGCUUUACUCUUCUCUCUCCAUUUCUAAAAAAAAAAGAAAACAACGCUGCAAAACUUCUUCUUCCCCAUCUGAAAUCGCGGGUCACCGCCCCAGUUUGACGCCUCCGCGUUCUUCUUGGCUGGAGAUCCCCGCCUAUUUUCCCCCUUGAAGCUGCCGCUGUGACUAUUGCUCUGGAAACGGCGGAGCAGGGCACCGCCCCUGCAUUGAAAGUUGCCGAUGCUCAGUCCUAUACUGCCGCCGUCGUUCAAUUCAGCUCGACGGAGCAGGGCACCGCCCCUCCAUUGAAAGCUAAGUCUUAAUCUUACCCUUUUCAUCUAUGUGUACUGAUUUGCUUGAUGCAUCAUAUGAGCAUGUAAGGCCUUUGUUUUAGCUACUGCAAUAGGUUUUUCAUGAUGAUCUAUGGUAUUUCUUAGUAAAAGGGUGCUAGUUCAGUUUCGAGGGUGUUCCCUUUUGUGUUUGCCUUAUGCAGUUCAAGCUUGCUGAGCUAAUUGAACUAGGUUGGUUAUGCAAUUUUCCUCAAAUGAUGCAUUUCUAAAUAGUCUGAACGUGUAGCUGAGAUAGAAAAUAGGUUGAGAAUGUGUUGGCUGGCUGUUGCUGCAGUAUUAAGGAUUGAAAAGUUAAAUAGAGUAAUGGAUGUUGUUGCCUUGAUUAAUGCAGGUUGAACAAUGGAGGAAGAUGGAAGAAUUAAAGCCUCCGGUGGAUUCCAUAGUGAAAAAUGGGAGUGAAAGUAGUACUACUAUUUGUUGGCUGAAUUGUAGGAUAAGAGAAAAGGAUUGUUAGGCUUGGCAGCACGUAUGGGGCUGGAUUGGACUGCUCCAGCUACAUGGAGGGAAGGUACAGUGGGAAUAGAGCUGGUGUUGCAGCCAUCACGCACCUUCUUUUUCUUUCUUUUCCUUGCUAGCUGAUGUUGUGGUAUCUCUGGCUUUGUUAUUUAAUCGUGUAUCUGUAUGCGUAAUAGGGUUUGCUAAAAUACUGAAUACUCUAAAUUUCGUAUUUCGAU